GCCUCACCUCCCCCCUCAGCACCUCAUCCAACACAGCCCUGACAGCCCUCACGCCAGGGGAAAGAAUCACACUCACAGGUGAACAUAGGCAGGAAAUUUG